GAAUAUUGGACAAUGGGCGAAAGCCUGAUCCAGCCAUGCCGCGUGUGUGAAGAAGGUCUUCGGAUUGUAAAGCACUUUAAGUUGGGAGGAAGGGGUUGAAGCUAAUACCUUCAAUCUUUGACGUUAACAACAGAAUAAGCACAGGCUAACUCUGUGCCAGCAGCCGCGGUAAUACAGAGGGUGCAAGCGUUAAUCGGAAUUACUUGGCGUAAAGCGCGCGUAGGUGGUUCAGUAAGAUGGAAGUGAAAUACCCGGGCUUAACCUGGGAACUGCUUUCAUAACUGCUGAGCUAGAGUACGGUAGAGGGUAGUGGAAUUUCCUGUGUAGCGGUGAAAUGCGUAGAUAUAGGAAGGAACACCAGUGGCGAAGGCGACUACCUGGACUGAUACUGACACUGAGGUGCGAAAGCGUGGGGAGCAAACAGG
rnacentral:rRNA from 1 species